rnacentral:rRNA from 1 species
CCUACGGGGGGCAGCAGUGAGGAAUAUUGGUCAAUGGACGAGAGUCUGAACCAGCCAAGUAGCGUGAAGGAUGACUGUCCUAUGGGUUGUAAACUUCUUUUAUAUGGGAAUAAAAUGUUCCACGUGUGGGAUUUUGUAUGUACCAUAUGAAUAAGGAUCGGCUAACUCCGUGCCAGCAGCCGCGGUAAUACGGAGGAUCCGAGCGUUAUCCGGAUUUAUUGGGUUUAAAGGGAGCGUAGGUGGAUUGUUAAGUCAGUUGUGAAAGUUUGCGGCUCAACCGUAAAAUUGCAGUUGAAACUGGCAGUCUUGAGUACAGUAGAGGUGGGCGGAAUUCGUGGUGUAGCGGUGAAAUGCUUAGAUAUCACGAAGAACUCCGAUUGCGAAGGCAGUUCACUGGACUGCAACUGACACUGAGGCUCGAAAGUGUGGGUAUCAAACAGGAUUAGAUACCCUUGUAGUC